AAUAGUCCAUGAUUCACUCGUUUUUAUCCAAAUUCAUUUCUGUUUUGGGCCAGAUCAAAAACCUGAAUGUUCAUAAAGGGCCUGUUGCACCAGAACAUAUUGAUGAAAACCAAUUAAAUUGUUAAAAUAUCAAUAAAUAGGUGUUUCAGCAUCAAUACGUGUUUCUUAAAAUAACAUAAUAUUGAACAUGCUUUCCUUAUGGCCCUGAGACGAUUCAUUGCCAGAAGAGGAAAGCCUGCAGAGCUAUGGUCUGAUUGUGGGACCAAUUUUAAGGGAGGGGAUCGGGAACUCAGAGAAGCCUUUGCCAAUAUGUCAGAGACGCUGCAGGGGCAAUUAGCCUCCCAGAAGAUUAAGUUUCAGUUUAAUCCCCCAGCAGCCCCACAUUUUGGCGGAGUGUGGGAGCGAGAAGUUCGUUCAGUGAAGGCAGCUCUCCGAAGCUGUGUGGGUUCCCAACUUCUUCAGGAGGCGGUACUUCUCAUGGUUCUUCAGGAGGUGGAAUCAAUACUGAACUCAAAGCCUUUGGGCUAUGUAUCAACUGAUGUGGCAGACGUGGACCCUGUGACUCCAAAUAGUCUCCUCAUGGGGCGGCCUGAUGGAUCCCUACCCCAGGUGGUCUACCCAGAGAGAGAAAACCUCAGUCGAAGACGUUGGCGGCACUCACAGAUUCUUGCUGAUCACUUCUGGGCAAGGUUCAUCAGAGAAUACCUUCCUGGCUUACAGACAAGACACAAAUGGCAAUCAAAUCCUCCUGGACUUCUCCAGAAUGCAAUCGUUAUGAUUGUGGAUCCCCAGCUGCCCCGCGCCUUAUGGCCAGUAGGUCAUGUGAUCAAGAUUCAUCGUAGUGAUGAUGGACAUAUCAGAUCAGCGGAUGUGAAAGUUAGUGAACAUGUCUACACUAGACCAGUUGCUCGGUUGGUUGUUUUACCAGCUGAAGUAAAGGACACUGAGAAGAGCAGCCAGACACCCCCCAAAACUUAGUAAUGCCUUUUAUGUUUAGCAAAUGUGUAGCCACAUUUGGGGGCGGCUGUAUAGAAGGCGCUGAUAUUUUUUGUAUUUUAUUUUGUAAUAUUGGUUUCAAACUUACCCUAGGAAGUGACGCAAGUCUCAGUUAGUGCUGCGCUACCGCUCAUGAGAGCAAUUUAAUAUACUUCCGGGUCAGUUUUGCUACAUUCUUAGCAUGCGAAGACCGCAUUCCUGGUGUAGUCCUGAGAAGUGAUGCUCCGAGUGUUAAGUUGAUGACAGAAAACUGCUGGCAACACUGAGCAUCAAGACAAAUAAACCAGCUCACAUCUGAAGUUAAA